UAGGUUGAGGAGUCGGUGACCGUGGCUGUGUAGGUGGAAGCGGCGGUGGAGGAGGAGGAUGAGGUAGCCAACACAGUUUUUUUUAAUUGGGGUAGCCCCCAAAAUAUUGGGACAUAUAAAAAAGACAACUCUGUUCCGCAGUGUAGCUGUUGACAUUAUAGUUGCGCAGGCACUUUGACUCUAGAGAACCUCGGGCCAAUCGCACAUCCCCGUGAUGGUGACUUUGCAUUUGGAUGUCAUCCAUAUCAACUUUCGAUGCCAGUUUCUGCGCCUACCAUGGUGACCACGGGUAACGGGGCUGUACAGGGACCCUGAAAAACGGCUACUGUAUGCAAGGAAGGCAGCAGGUGCGGGAAGGUAGUGACCACAAAUAACAAUACAGGACUCUUUAGAGGCCCUGUAAUUGUAAUGAGUCCACUUGAAAUCCUCUAACUGUGAUCAAUUGGAGGGAAGUCUGGUGCAGAGCCACUGACCCGUGCAUGCUGCAGCUGAAACUCCAGU